GAGACUGGGGGGCUUGAUGGCACCAGAGGGGAGCGGAAUUCCCGGUGUAACGGUGAAAUGCGUAGAUAUCGGGAGUGAACACCAGUGGCGAAGGCGGCUCUCUGGGGUGCAACGUGACGCUGAGGCGCGAAAGCUAGGGGAGCAACCGGGAUUAGAUACCCCGGUAGUCCUAGCCGUAAACGAUGGGUACUAGGUGUGGGAGGUAUCGACCCCUUCCGUGCCGGAGUUAACACAAUAAGUACCCCGCCUGGGGAGUACGGCCGCAAGGUCGAAACUCAAAGGAAUUGACGGGGUGCCCGCACAAGCAGUGGAGCAUGUGGUUUAAUUCGACGCAACGCGCAGAAACUUACCAGGGUUUGACAUCCCCUGACGGCUGUAGAGAUACAGCGUUCUAGCCCGAAAGGGCUAGACAGGGAGACAGGUGGUGCAUGGUUGUCGUCAGCUCGUGUCGUGAGAUGUUGGGUAAAGUCCCGCAACGAGCGCAAACCCUGUCCCUAGUUGCCAGCGGGUAAAGCCGGGCACUCUAGGGAGACUGCCGGAGAGAAUUCGGAGGAAGGUGGGGAUGACGUCAAAUCAUCAUGCCCUUUAUAUCCUGGGCCACACACGUGCUACAAUGGCCAGGGACAGAGGGAAGCGAAGGGGUGACCCGGAGCAAAUCCCAAAAAACUGGUCUCAGUUGGGAUCGUAGGCUGCAACUCGCCUACAUGAACGCGGAAUUGCUAGUAAUCGCGGAUCAGCACGCCGCGGUGAAUACGUUCCCGGGCCUUGUACACACCGCCCGUCACACCACGAGAGCUGGCAACACCCGAAGCCGGUGAACCAA
rnacentral:rRNA from 1 species